GGUCCGGUAGCUCAGCUGGAUAGAGCAUUCGCCUUCUAAGCGAAUUGUCGAGAGUUCGAAUCUCUCCCGGAUCA
rnacentral:tRNA from 3 species